rnacentral:rRNA from 1 species
AUUGAACGCUGGCGGCAGGCCUAACACAUGCAAGUCGAACGAGUGGCGGACGGGUGAGUAAUGUCUGGGAAACUGCCCGAUGGAGGGGGAUAACUACUGGAAACGGUAGCUAAUACCGCAUACCAUCGGAUGUGUCCAGAUGGGAUUAGCUAGUAGGUGGGGUAACGCCUCACCUAGGCGACGAUCCCUAGCUGGUCUGUGAGGAUGACCCGCAACACUUGAACUGAGGACCGGUCCAGACGCCUACGUGAGGCAGCAGUGGAGGAUAUUGCAAAAUGGGCGCAAGCCUGACGCAGCCAUGCCGGGUAUAUGAAGAAGGCCGUCGGGUUGUAAAGUACUUUCAGCGGGGAGGCGUUACUCGCAGAAGAAGCACCGGCUAACUCCGUGCCAGCAGCCGCGGGAUAC